GUGGACGAGGUACGUGGACUGGCGAGCUAGGGCUUUUCCUUGGAUGUGAGCCGAAUCGGGUUCACGGACGAGUUCGUGGAGAAGAUGGAGCUUCGGUUCCAGGCCGCGUUCAAGGCGAUGGAGGAGCUGGAGAAGGGCGCGAUUGCGAACCCGGCCUGGGCGAGGGCCACAUGGUCGGGCACUACUGGUUGAGGAAGUCGGAACUCGCGCCGGUCCGGUUCCUGAAGGCGCAGAUUGAGAGCACGCUCGACGCCGUCUGCAAUUUCACUGCCGACGUGGUUAGCGGUGAGAUUAAGCCCCCUCCUACUUCUCCCGUGGAUCGCUUUACUCAAGUACUUUCAGUUGUUCAGCUCUUGGGCCACGGUUUGUUGCAGAGGCAUUGGCUCCCGAUAAUCCUCCAUUGAAUUGUUAAAGACCGGAGUGUCCAUCCUCCUCUCGCAAUCUACCCUUUAGUCUUUAUUAGGAAGCAGCCUUGCAGGAGUUGGUAUUGCUCUAUGCUGAAGAAGUGGACGAAACUGAUGUUCAAGUUGGAGAGCUUGGAUUAGCGGUGCACAGCAAGUCCAGUUCAAGCCAAGAACCGGGUAGAGCCAUCCUGAUGAAGUCCGGUUCCAGGUCAAUUAUAAAAAAAAAAAUUGGUCCACUUCUUAAUAAUGAAAUCGUAGAGUCGGCCUUUUUCUGGUUUGGCUCCCGGUUCUUAUACUAAAACCAUCUAUUGGACCUUGAAACCGACCAACCAAGGUGGUUCUAGGCUCGAACCAAUCCAGAACCCAUUUCACCUUAUUUUAAAAAAAUGUAAUAGCAAGUUGCAACUGAGAGGGAUUGGAAGCCGAGACCUCAAGUAUCCGGUGUAUGCAUAACACCACUAAGCUCACAAGAGUUUGCUUGACGACAGCUAUAAAUGGUUUUGGAUGUAUGUUGGAACUCUUGGCUGAGCCUUUCUAUAUCCUCUCCCAGAACCUGCUUCUGCUUAAAUUACGGCUAUUGGUGGAGACAGCAGCAACAUUCUUACGUUGCUUAACAAUGUGUAUACUCAUAGUUAAGCAAACUAACAUGAUAAUUGGCUACUGGUUAUGAAAACUCUUGUGCAAAUAAAAGAUAUCUAACUUGCUGUUGGGCUGGUUGCUUCUGCUUGUUAUGCUAUUUAGUAUACUUCAGUUUGUGAAUUCGUGUGUCUUCUGCCUAUCCUACAUCUACAUUGGGGAUAGUUGGUCCAAACCAUUAAAUUUUGAGAUGCUUUGUUGUCGAAAUACUUCAUCCGAUCAAUAACUUUAAUGAGCAGUUAUUUAUGUAUCACAUUCUGGUUUGAUCAACUCUGCAAUAUAGGAAUCAAAUAGGGAGGUUGAUCCAAAUUUAAGUUCUGCCUUUUUCCUUUGGGUUUAGCAAAUGGUAAUGUGGAUUUCAGAAUGUGAACAUAACUGUGGAUUCUCAGUAUAUCACAAUAAUUGUUGCUCGUCCUUUACUCAAAGGAGCUCUUUUAAUUGA